rnacentral:rRNA from 1 species
GUUGAACGCUGGCGGCAUGCUUUACACAUGCAAGUCGAACGGCAGCGCGGGCUUCGGCCUGGCGGCGAGUGGCGAACGGGUGAGUAAUGCAUCGGAACGUGCCCAGUAGUGGGGGAUAGCCCGGCGAAAGCCGGAUUAAUACCGCAUACGACCUGAGGGUGAAAGCGGGGGACCGAAAGGCCUCGCGCUAUUGGAGCGGCCGAUGUCGGAUUAGCUAGUUGGUGGGGUAAAGGCUUACCAAGGCGACGAUCCGUAGCUGGUCUGAGAGGACGACCAGCCACACUGGGACUGAGACACGGCCCAGACUCCUACGGGAGGCAGCAGUGGGGAAUUUUGGACAAUGGGGGCAACCCUGAUCCAGCCAUGCCGCGUGCGAGAAGAAGGCCUUCGGGUUGUAAACCGCUUUUGUUCGGGAAGAAAUCCUCUGGGCUAAUACCCCGGGGGGAUGACGGUACCGGAAGAAUAAGCACCGGCUAACUACGU